rnacentral:rRNA from 1 species
UCGAUUCCGGUAGUGGCAAACCGUGAACUUGUUUGAACUCCAAGGGACUCGUCAUGUGAGGCAACUCCGUGGCGUGUCCCCCUCCUGCGUGGGCAUCGCUCACAGCGGGCAAACAAACCCCGGCGCGGCACGCGCCAAGGAAAACUCAUAGGAGCGUCCGCCCCUCUUGCCCCGUGCGCGGUGAGCAGGAGGGGAGUGUGAUGUACCUCGAAUGUCAAAACGACUCUCGGCAACGGAUAUCUCGGCUCUCGCAUCGAUGAAGAACGUAGCGAAAUGCGAUACUUGGUGUGAAUUGCAGAAUCCCGUGAACCAUCGAGUCUUUGAACGCAAGUUGCGCCCGAAGCCUCCCGGCCGAGGGCACGCCUGCCUGGGCGUCACGCAUCGCGUCGCCCCCGACAUCCGCCUUUCUUGGGGCGAUUCGUCGGGGGCGGACAAUGGCCUCCCGUGGGCGCUAGCUUGCGGUUGGCUUAAAUUGUAUCACGUGUCGCCCGUCGUCACGGCAAGCGUUGGUUGAGCACUCCACUCUCUAGCUGUCGUGCCGGAUGCUGCGCCGCGUCCUUUCAGACCCAAAGGCGCGCACAUGCUUGCGCCUACGACCGCGAC